GACAGAGGGUGCAAGCGUUGCUCGGAAUUACUGGGCGUAAAGCGUGUGUAGGCGGUCCAGCAAGUGGGGUGUGAAAGCCCGGGGCUCAACCCCGGAAUUGCCUUUAAGACUGCAUCGCUAGAAUCAUGGAGAGGUGAGUGGAAUUCCGAGUGUAGAGGUGAAAUUCGUAGAUAUUCGGAAGAACACCAGUGGCGAAGGCGACUCACUGGACAUGUAUUGACGCUGAGGUACGAAAGCGUGGGGAGCAAACAGG
rnacentral:rRNA from 1 species